AUACGGAGGGUGCAAGCGUUACUCGGAAUCACUGGGCGUAAAGCGCGCGCAGGUGGCUUGAUAAGUUGGAUGUGAAAGCCUACGGCUCAACCGUAGAACUGCAUCCAAAACUGUCAGGCUAGAGUGUGGGAGAGGAAGAUGGAAUUAGUUGUGUAGGGGUAAAAUCCGUAGAGAUAACUAGGAAUACCAAAAGCGAAGGCAAUCUUCUGGAACACUACUGACGCUGAGGCGCGAAGGCGUGGGGAGCAAACAGGAUUAGAAACCCCGGUAGUCC
rnacentral:rRNA from 1 species